rnacentral:rRNA from 1 species
GUCGAGCGGUAACAGGCAUAAAGACUCAGCUUGCUGAAUCCGGCGCUGACGAGCGGCGAACGGGUGAGUAACGCGUAGGAAUCUACCCAGUAGCGGGGGAUAGCCCGAGGAAACUCGGAUUAAUACCGCAUACGCCCUGAGGGGGAAAGGGGGCAGUUUACUGCUCUCACUAUUGGAUGAGCCUGCGUAAGAUUAGCUUGUUGGUGGGGUAAUGGCCUACCAAGGCGACGAUCUUUAGCUGGUCUGAGAGGACGAUCAGCCACAUUGGGACUGAGACACGGCCCAGACAUCUACGGAUGGCAGCAGUUAAGAAUAUUGGACAAUGGGGGCAACCCUGAUCCAGGUAUACCGCGUGUGUGAAGAAGGCCCUAGGGUUGUAAAGCACUUUAAUCAGUGAAGAAGCAUAUUGAGUUAAUACCUCAUUAUGUUGACGUUAACUGAAGAAUAAGGACCGGCUAACUCCGUGCCAGCAGCCGCGGUAAUACGGAGGGUCCAAGCGUUAAUCGGAAUUACUGGGCGUAAAGCGCGCGUAGGCGGUUUAGCAAGUUGUAUGUGAAAGCCCUGGGCUCAACCUAGGAACUGCAUCCAAUACUACUAAGCUAGAGUACGAGAGAGGAGAGUAGAAUUUCCGGUGUAGCGGUGAAAUGCGUAGAUAUCAGAAGGAAUACCAAUGGCGAAGGCAGCUCUCUGGCUCGUCACUGACGCUGAGGUGCGAAAGCGUGGGUAGCAAACAGGAUUAGAUACCCUGGUAGUCCACGCCGUAAACGAUGAGAACUAGCCGUUGGGCAGAUUUAACUGUUCAGUGGCACAGCUAACGCAUUAAGUUCUCCGCCUGGGGAGUACGGCCGCAAGGCUAAAACUCAAAUGAAUUGACGGGGGCCCGCACAAGUGGUGGAGCAUGUGGUUUAAUUCGAUGCAACGCGAAGAACCUUACCAACCCUUGAAAUCUAGCGAAGUUCACAGAGAUGAGAAUGUGCCUUCGGGAACGCUAUGAC